rnacentral:lncRNA from 1 species
GGGAUGCAUGCUGAUUGUAUAUAAGAGCUUGUUGGGUGGUAUUUUGUAUCAUAUAUAAACACUAGAUCACCACAAUAUAAAUUGUGUAGUUUAUAGGAAGUUAUCAAUAAUACUUUGACAUUGUGAUAGUGUAUUCUUUUUCCUCCUACAGGUAGGGGACCUUAGACUAGCACUGCAACGUGCAGAACAAGCAGCUGCCAGAAAAGAGGAUUAUCUGCGACAUGAGAUCAGUGAACUUCAGCAGGGGAGUCCCAGACCUUGUUGGCAGCAGCAGUUGAAAGAGAACGUGCAGCUACAGAAGAACUCCUUGCCAACAAAAUCCAGAUGUCUUCCAUGGAAUCACAGAAUUCUCUCUUGAGACAGGAAAACAGUAGACUUCAGGCCCAGCUAGAAUCAGAGAAAAAUAAGCUAAGAAAACUGGAGGAUGAAAAUAAUCGACAUUGUUGAGUAGUCAAUUAGAAAUGGAAAAAAUGAAAGUUGAACAAGAGAGGAAGAAAGCCAUUUUCACUCAAGAAGCAAUAAAAGAAAAGGAACGCAAGCCAUUUUCUGUUUCUAGUACUCCCACCUUGUCACGCUCGAGUUCAGUAAGUGGAGUUGAUAUGGCAGAGCUGCAAACAUCUUUUCUGUCUCAGGAUGAGUCUCAUGAUCAUUCAUUUGGACCAAUGUCUGCAUCAGCGAGUGGCAGCAAUCUUUACGAUGCUGUAAGGAUGGGAGCAGGGUCAAGUGUUAUUGAAAACCUGCAGUCUCAGCUAAAGCUAAGGGAAGGGGAAAUUGCACAUUUACAGGUAUGA